CUAAAUGAAGGGUUCUCAACUUUGGGGUAGACGUAUCUCCUGUGGUAGACUACUGGAGAGGAAUUCUGUGGAUACGUGACAGGUAAUACAAUAGUCACUCUUGCUAGUUUUCUAUAGAUCGCGUCGUUUCUCACGCGUACGAAACAGGUACCGUCAUCACAAGCACGACUGUUAACACGCAGAUAUCAAAAGAUUUCCUUCUCUCGUGUGUCAUACUUUGAAGGUUUCGAGCAUGGAGAAUUGUUAAAUCAAGAGCAGGUACCGUCAUCACAAAUAAGACAUCAGAAAAUUUCCUUCUCUCGUGUGCCAUGCCUUGAAAGGUGGUGAAGUAGAAGUGGCUGGACACUGGAGUAUGGAAGAAUCAUCUAAAAUUUUUAAGUCUCCUCUCAGGGAAAUCAGUCGGUCGGGAAAAGCUUCUCUCAGGAAUCCCAUUGAAAUGCGUGCAAUGUGGGCUGUGGCCCCAUCUUGCUGGAACCACACGUUUCCAUUAUCCAGGUCCAUAUUAAUGAG